rnacentral:rRNA from 1 species
ACCUGACUGCUAUCGGAUUGAUACUAAGCCAUGCGAGUCUUUGCAGUAAUGCAAGGCAUACGGCUCAGUAACACGUAGUCAACCUACCCUAUGGACGAGAAUAAUCUCGGGAAACUGAGCAUAAUUCUUGAUAGAUCAUAAUGCCUGGAAUGGUUUAUGGUUAAAAUGAUUCGUCGCCAUAGGAUGGGACUGCGGCCUAUCAGCUUGUUGGUGAGGUAAUGGCCCACCAAGGCGAUUACAGGUACGGGCUCUGAGAGGAGAAGCCCGGAGAUGGGUACUGAGACACGGACCCAGGCCCUAUGGGGCGCAGCAGGCGAGAAAACUUUGCAAUGUGCGAAAGCACGACAAGGUUAAU